rnacentral:rRNA from 1 species
UACGGAGGAUGCGAGCGUUAUCCGGAUUUAUUGGGUUUAAAGGGUGCGUAGGCGGGAUGCCAAGUCAGCGGUAAAAAUGCGGUGCUCAACGCCGUCGAGCCGUUGAAACUGGCGUCCUUGAGUGGGCGAGAAGUAUGCGGAAUGCGUGGUGUAGCGUUGAAAUGCAUAGAUAUCACGCAGAACUCCGAUUGCGAAGGCAGCAUACCGGCGCCCUACUGACGCUGAGGCACGAAAGCGUGGGUAUCGAACAGG